UACGUAGGGGGGCGAGCGUUUGUCCGGAUUUAUUGGGCGUAAAGAGCUCGUAGGCGGUUUGGUAAGUCGGGUGUGAAAUCUCCACGCUCAACGUGGAGGGGCCACUCGAUACUGCCAUGACUCGAGUCCGGUAGAGGAGUGUGGAAUUCCCGGUGUAGCGGUGAAAUGCGCAGAUAUCAGGAGGAACACCAAUGGCGAAGGCAGCACUCUGGGAGCGGUACUGACGCUGAGACGCGAAAGCGUGGGGAGCAAACAGG
rnacentral:rRNA from 1 species